UACAGAGGUCUCAAGCGUUGUUCGGAUUCAUUGGGCGUAAAGGGUGCGUAGGCGGCGCGGUAAGUCGGGUGUGAAAUCUCGGAGCUUAACUCCGAAACUGCAUUCGAUACUGCCGUGCUUGAGGACUGGAGAGGAGACUGGAAUUUACGGUGUAGCGGUGAAAUGCGUAGAUAUCGUAAGGAAGACCAGUGGCGAAGGCGGGUCUCUGGACAGUUCCUGACGCUGAGGCACGAAGGUAAGGUGAGCAAACAGG
rnacentral:rRNA from 1 species